AUACCUUUCUCGGCCUUUUGGCUAAGAUCAAGUGUAGUAUCUGUUCUUAUCAGUUUAAUAUCUGAUAAUGGGAACCUACGGGUUCCCGGCGGGUGAGCCUAUAGGUCUACCUAUAUGUUUGCCCGCCCAGAGGUCCCAUUACUUAGUUGCUUGCUACUUAGGUGUUCCUUCUGUGUUGCCCUUGCUUUGCACUACGGCAAGAGCUUAGCACACCCACC
rnacentral:snRNA from 1 species